AGGGAAUCUUCCACAAUGGACGCAAGUCUGAUGGAGCAACGCCGCGUGAGUGAAGAAGGUUUUCGGACCGUAAAGCUCUGUUGUUGGUGAAGAAGGAUAGAGGUAGUAACUGGCCUUUAUUUGACGGUAAUCAACCAGAAAGUCACGGCUAACUACGUGCCAGCAGCCGCGGUAAUACGUAGGUGGCAAGCGUUGUCCGGAUUUAUUGGGCGUAAAGCGAGCGCAGGCGGAAGAAUAAGUCUGAUGUGAAAGCCCUCGGCUUAACCGAGGAAUUGCAUCGGAAACUGUUUUCUGAGUGCAGAAGAGGAGAGUAGAACUCCAUGUGUAGCGGUGGAAUGCGUAGAUAUAUGGAAGAAUACCAGUGGCGAAGGCGGCUCUCUGGUCUGCAACUGACGCUGAGGCUCGAAAGCAUGGGUAGCGAACAGGAUUAGAUACCCUGGUAGUCCAUGCCGUAAACGAUGAGUGCUAAGUGUUGGGAGGCUUCCGCCUCUCAGUGCUGCAGCUAACGCAUUAAGCACUCCGCCUGGGGGAGUACGACCGCAAGGUUGAAAC
rnacentral:rRNA from 1 species